rnacentral:rRNA from 1 species
UACGUAGGGGGCGAGCGUUGUCCGGAUUCAUUGGGCGUAAAGAGCUCGUAGGCGGCUUGGCAAGUCGGGUGUGAAAACUCCAGGCUCAACCUGGAGACGCCACCCGAUACUGCCAUGGCUUGAGACCGGUAGGGGACCACGGAAUUCCUGGUGUAGCGGUGAAAUGCGCAGAUAUCAGGAGGAACACCGGUGGCGAAGGCGGUGGUCUGGGCCGGUACUGACGCUGAGGAGCGAAAGCGUGGGGAGCGAACAGG